rnacentral:rRNA from 1 species
UGCGAGUCAUUGUAGCAAAUACAAGGCAGACGGCUCAGUAACGCGUAGUCAAUCUACCCUAUGGACGGGAAUAACCUCGGGAAACUGAGAAUAAUGCCCGACAGAACAUUAUACCUGGAACGGUUUAUGUUUCAAAUGAUUUAUCGCCGUAGGAUGGGACUGCGGCCUAUCAGUUUGUUGGUGAGGUAAUGGCCCACCAAGACUAUUACAGGUACGGGCUCUGAGAGGAGUAGCCCGGAGAUGGGUACUGAGACACGGACCCAGGCCCUAUGGGGCGCAGCAGGCGAGAAAACUUUGCAAUGUGCGAAAGCACGACAAGGUUAAUCCGAGUGGUUUCUGCUAAAGAAACCUUUUGCUAGUCCUAGAAACACUAGUGAAUAAGGGGUGGGCAAGUUCUGGUGUCAGCCGCCGCGGUAAAACCAGCACCUCAAGUGGUCAGGAUGAUUAUUGGGCCUAAAGCAUCCGUAGCUCGUUUUGUAAGUUUUCGGUUAAAUCCACACGCUUAACGUAUGGGCUGCCGGGAAUACUGCAUAACUAGGAAGUGGGAGAGGUAGACGGUACUCGGUAGGAAGGGGUAAAAUCCUUUGAUCUAUUGAUGACCACCUGUGGCGAAGGCGGUCUACCAGAACACGUUCGACGGUGAGGGAUGAAAGCUGGGGGAGCAAACCGGAUUAGAUACCCGGGUAGUCCCAGCUGUAAACUAUGCAAACUCAGUGAUGCAUUGGCUUGUGGCCAAUGCAGUGCUGCAGGGAAGCCGUUAAGUUUGCCGCCUGGGAAGUACGUACGCAAGUAUGAAACUUAAAGGAAUUGGCGGGGGAGCACCACAAGGGGUGAAGCCCGCGGU